UACGAAGGGGGCUAGCGUUGUUCGGAAUUACUGGGCGUAAAGCGAACGUAGGCGGUGUUCCAUGUCAGAGAUGAAAGCCUGGGGCUCAACUCCAGAAUUGCCUUUGAAACGGGGACGCUUGAGUCCGAGAGAGGAUAGCGGAAUUCCUAGUGUAGAGGUGAAAUUCGUAGAUAUUAGGAAGAACACCAGUGGCGAAGGCGGCUAUCUGGCUCGGUACUGACGCUCAGGUUCGAAAGCGUGGGGAGCAAACAGG
rnacentral:rRNA from 1 species